GGAGAAGCACAGAGGAGCUGGUGACGAGGCGAGCAUCAGUUAUUCACCAGUGGCCCCCUGCCAGCCAGGUCAUUUCCCUUUGCAGCAAGACACACUUCCAUGAGAUUUCUGGUGCAACCUGUGAGAGCUUGCUCCAGAAGCUCUGCUUGGUUCAGUGUCAUUGGAAAUCCAUCGAGGACCCAGCCUUGAUCCACAGGAAAGGAGCUGGCCCUGGGGCCACAGAGACCACCAUCCACCA